rnacentral:rRNA from 1 species
UGAGGAAUAUUGGGGCAAUGGGCGCAAGCCUGACCCAGCAACGCCGCGUGAAGGAAGAAGGCUUUCGGGUUGUAAACUUCUUUUGUCCGGGACGAGUAGAAGACGGUACCUGAUGAAUAAGCUCCGGCUAACUACGUGCCAGCAGCCGCGGUAAUACGUAGGGAGCGAGCGUUAUCCGGAUUUACUGGGUGUAAAGGGCGAGUAGGCGGGCUGGUAAGUUGGAAGUGAAAUGUCGGGGCUUAACCCCGGAACUGCUUUCAAAAACUGCUGGUCUUGAGUGAUGGAGAGGCAGGCGGAAUUCCUAGUGUAGCGGUGAAAUGCGUAGAUAUUAGGAGGAACACCAGUGGCGAAGGCGGCCUGCUGGACAUUAACUGACGCUGAGGAGCGAAAGCGUGGGGAGCAAACAGGAUUAGAUACCCUGGUAGU